CAACCACCACAUCUCGCCGAUGGAGUUUAUUCAGUGCGCCUACCUCGGCCAGCAUAGCACAGACGGCCGCCGCUACGACGGCCUCGGUCGCUACACCUUCCCGAAUGGCGACGUGUACCUCGGCGGAAUGCAGGAUGGGCAGUUUCACGGUCACGGCGUCGUCUUCUUCCGGAAUACACCCGGCAGUGAUGAUGGCGGCAGCGGCGGCUUACCCGCCCGCGCGAAUGUAGCGUCAACUCGCCAUCCUCUUCCUCAGGCCAGGGGUGACAAAGGCAGUGUCGACGAUGUAGAAGACCGUGCGUUGCAGGCUUUCUUGAACCCAGAUCAGACUUCCACCGUAUCCACUGCGGGUGCGGGCGAGAGCCCGGUGGCAGUGCAGGACUUUGCGGCCCUUGUGGGCAGCAGCGGUGGUGGCGGCGGCGGCCAGUACCGAGGCGUGUGGGAGCACGGCCGGCACGUGGAGGGCCACUACGUAUUCCAGGAUGGGCUCGUGUACGGCAGCAGUGGCACAGAGGACAUGUUGGCCUACGCGCAGAGGAAGCGUGGCACGUUGUGGACCUACUGCCACGGCAGCGACCGCCGCCUGUGGGAGGAGUACCUGCAGAAUGUGGCACCGGUGCUGCCGCACGAAGCGCUCUUGGGCGGGGCACGGCUGCUGCACAUUCGCAAAGACGCCAUGGCAAAGAAGGAGAGCACCAGCGAGUCUCCGGCCGCGAGCGCGGAUGACACGGGUGAGGGCUUGCCCAUGGUGCUUCCGCGCGCCUUCGUGCACGCGCGCACGGCGCCGGCGUUUGCGAAGGGACAGCUCACGAGCAUUGAUGACCCUCGAGUCACGCGCUGGGCCGAGGCCGCCGCGGCCGCGGACGAGAGGAAGGCUGCCUUCCACCUGCAACGACAGAAGCAGGAGCAAGCAGGGUCACCGCCUGCCCGCUCCAGCCGCCGUCCCACAAUGGUUGGAGGCGGCGAAAGCGUUGAUGCGAGGUCGGAAGCGCCGCUCGAACUAAUCGAGUCGGCGAUCGCCCUCCAGUUUGCGAUGGCCGUGCCCACCGAGGGGCUGCGUGCGGACGGCCGACUCGAAGACACGGAGGCUGAUGUGGUUGGCUCCAAAGAUGGGGUUGUGGGGGAGGACGGGGUCGCUGCAGCGGCAUUGGUGACGGCACCAGCAGCCCCACAGCCGGCGCUAAACUUGGCAGUGUGCCGAGUUUUGGAUGUAGAGGACGUCAACAGAGCGCUUGUGCAAAUCGUGGCGGCGCCGUGAUGUUGUACAGACGCAGAUGCAUGCACACACGCAACGCUGGUUGUUUACACAGGCGUUUUGCGGCUUUCCUCCUCCGCCCGUACUCCUCCAGCUUUCACGGCACGACCGCCGAGUUGUUCCUGCGCUUCCUCUCUUGCCCCUUCCUUUGAACUUGCCGAUGGCCAAUGGGCACAGCCGUGAAUGAGGCGCUGCAAAGGGCGUUGCCACAGCACCUCCUAUACAGAUCGGAGAAGGGCAGGAACGCUCACGGCGCGGGGUCGUGCAACCGUCGAUGCCCGAACUCGAAAGACGGCCGUCAUUGCACGCGUCGCCUCUCCUCUUGCGCUGUCGUUUGACGAUGUAAUCCAGAUGCGCGUGCACCCCGCACGUGCGUACUUUUUCGUGCUUUCUGGCGUCAGCUUGUUGUGCGUGUGAGGGUGUGCCUGCCACCUUCUCUCUCUCUGCUAUGCUGAUGCGCGCCGAUGGCAGUUCAGUGCGCUCCACUGCGUUGCCGUACUCGGCUCUACCCCCUCACGGACAAGCCGACAGACACCCAUGCCCAUAAACGUUAUCUGACAUCUGCACAUGGGCGAGUAGGGCACCGUCGAGGCUUUCGUGUAAACGCGCAGGCCAGCGGAGAUUUGGCAUGACCCGAAAACCAUCGAAUGCCGUCUGCAAGCAACAUGCGCGCGCAUGUUCACUCGCACCACCACAUCGACUCUACCAGCCCAAUCACGCCCACGCACGCUUGCGCGCUUGCAUAAGUGUGCUCUCUCACGUUGCAUGCAGCGACAGGAAGAACACCACCGCUGCGGGAGGUUUUCAGGGUGGGAGAGGGGGGCUCGUAUUCUUGCACAUCAACCACGUAGUGCGCUGCUCAGCGCACACAUGUUUUGCAAUGACCUGCACUGCUGCGCAAAGGAAAGGGAGACUCGCCCUAUUGUUGCCAAUGACGGGCAGUUCUGCAGUGAGGGUGGGAGAAGGUGUGUGUGUGUGUGCGUAAGAUGGGUCGAAGGCACGGCCCGUGUGCACUCACUGACAUCUUACUUUCACCCCCCCCUUCCCCUCUCUCGAGGCCUCCUCUCCUAUAUCCUUAUGUUCUUCCUGCAGGUGAUUCACGAUGCAAGAUGGUGGUGCUGCUGCCUGGAGCGCCCUUCCCCAGCGCCGCGUCUCCGUCCCUCCCUCGUUGCGGCCGUCGCACUUCUCUGUCUUCCCCAUCGAAAAGGGGUCUCUCUCUCUCGUUGGCGCCCUGCGGCACCACACCAAAUCGACGGAUAGACGCGCGCACACAAUCGCAAGCCGUUCGCGCGCCCAUCCGCGUCCUCGGGCUCACAGUGCACUGCUCCGUUUUUGUGCGCGAGCUCGACCUCGGCCACCGGUGAAGACAGAGUUCAGAUCGGCUAGCGUCACGUAACCUGCCAUACAGGGCCCACUCCUCUCGUCGUCCCCCCCCCCUUCCUCCAACCCCACGCUUCCUUCCCUCACUGCCACUGCUGCACGGCAG
rnacentral:misc_RNA from 1 species